AGAGUUUGAUCCUGGCUCAGGAUGAGCGCUAGCGGCAGGCUUAAUACAUGCAAGUCGAGGGGCAGCACGGGUAGCAAUACCUGGUGGCGACCGGCAAACGGGUGCGGAACACGUACAGAACUUUCCUCUGAGUGUGGGAUAGCCCGGAGAAAUCCGGAUUAAUACCACAUAGUAUUAUAGGGUGGCAUCACUUAGUAAUUAAAGAUUUAUCGCUUAGAGAUGGCUGUGCGGCUGAUUAGGUAGUUGGUGUAGGUAACGGCUCACCAAGCCAACGAUCAGUAACUGGUGUGAGAGCACGACCAGUCACACGGGCACUGAGACACGGGCCCGACUCCUACGGGAGGCAGCAGUAAGGAAUAUUGGUCAAUGGAGGCAACUCUGAACCAGCCAUGCCGCGUGAAGGAUGAAGGCCCUCUGGGUUGUAAACUUCUUUUAUCUGGGACGAAACACUCUUAUUCUUAAGAGCUUGACGGUACCAGAGGAAUAAGCACCAGCUAACUCCGUGCCAGCAGCCGCGGUAAUACGGAGGGUGCAAGCGUUAUCCGGAUUCACUGGGUUUAAAGGGUGCGUAGGUGGGUCUGUAAGUCAGUGGUGAAAUCUCCGUGCUUAACAUGGAAACUGCCAUUGAUACUAUAGGUCUUGAAUUUUCUGGAGGAUAGCGGAAUAUGUCAUGUAGCGGUGAAAUGCUUAGAUAUGACAUAGAACACCAAUUGCGAAGGCAGCUAUCUACAGGGAUAU
rnacentral:rRNA from 1 species